rnacentral:rRNA from 1 species
CGAGUGGCGGACGGGUGAGGAAUACAUCGGAAUCUACUUUUUCGUGGGGGAUAACGUAGGGAAACUUACGCUAAUACCGCAUACGACCUACGGGUGAAAGCAGGGGAUCUUCGGACCUUGCGCGAUUGAAUGAGCCGAUGUCGGAUUAGCUAGUUGGCGGGGUAAAGGCCCACCAAGGCGACGAUCCGUAGCUGGUCUGAGAGGAUGAUCAGCCACACUGGAACUGAGACACGGUCCAGACUCCUACGGGAGGCAGCAUG